UACGGAGGGUGCGAGCGUUAUCCGGAAUGAUUGGGCGUAAAGCGUCCGCAGGUGGUUGUGUGUGUCUAUUGUCAAAGCAUCAUGCUUAACAUGAUAAAGGCAGUAGAAACUACACGACUAGAGUGCGUUCGGGGCAGAGGGAAUUCCUGGUGUAGCGGUGAAAUGCGUAGAGAUCAGGAAGAACACCGGUGGCGAAAGCGCUCUGCUAGGCCGCAACUGACACUGAGGGACGAAAGCUAGGGGAGCGAAUAGG
rnacentral:rRNA from 1 species